rnacentral:tRNA from 1 species
GCGGGCGUAGCUCAGUUGGUUAGAGCGCCGGCCUGUCACGCCGGAGGUCGCGAGUUCGAGUCUCGUCGCUCGCG